AUAUUCUAAUUGUUACCGUUGAAUUUCAUUCAUCAAACCCGGAUUGCUUUAACCAAAUAUUAAUAUUCUAAAUGUUACCGUUGGAUUUCAUUUAUCAAACCCGAUUGCCUACCUUCUGUGUUUUUCUUUGGAGCUCAGUGUCAGCCCCUCAAAAACGAGUUGGGGAGAGCCCCGUGAUUCUGAGCGUGUAACUUGUGGCUUGGAGGAAGGCUGGCCUAGAACGUGUCUAGGGCGCCGCACAGACGCAAAAACUUAGGCCCAGAUUUUGUGUAUGUGACACUCAGCCACUGCAUCUCAACAGUUUCUCUGGCCGGGACCGGACGACAAUCCAUCCGAGAAAUGGGAAAAAAGAAAAAAAAAUGGUUCAGAGGGCAAGAACAUCAAGCUAUGCUUGCUCCCUUCAGGAAAGGGGAUAGGCGCAUGUCUCAGGAGCUCUGGGACACAGUCCUCGACUGUUCUGCCUAUGCUUGCUAAUCUGAACAUCAAGCUAUGCAAGGUGAUUUUGCAGUAGAUUGAACACAGAGCACAUUUGCACAGAAAAUGGCAACUCAUACUGGUGUCUUGAUUCGAGAUCAGAAUUUGAAGUUUCACUUUGAUGUGGGGGGCUUAUGUAGGGAAAGAGGCCAAUGUCUACAAGGUGCAGAAGAAACAAGGCAUUGGUGGAAGAAAAGCUCUUGGUGAUUUGACAAACUCAAGGAAGCCUUCUCCAAUUAAGGCAUCAAAGAGGCAUUACUCAAAGAUUUUCACUUCUUUUGGGGAAGAGGUUGAUGCUGUUAGGUCCAAAUAGAUUCGUGGCAGGAACAGUAUCUCCAGCCUCUUUCAGGGCGUGAUUUAUGUUUAAAAUAAAAUAAAAUUUCAGGGCGUUUUAGUUGACUGAUUGUCAGUUUGAAUUAGGAGGAAUCCUUAGGAUACCCUUUAACCUAGGGUAAUGGGUCAGAUUCUGGGUAGCCCAGAAUUUGGGUCGUGACAACUUCUGUAAUGGAGGAUCAUUUUCUUCCCAAUUCCAUUGCUGAGGAACAGUUUCUCCACAAUCAUGAGGAGUGCAUCAAAGCACGGAGUAUGAACAUGAGCAAGGAUUAUUUUCUCAAGACUAUUGGACUACACAAUGAUUUUCCCAUGCAAUUACCAUCUUGUUAUGUGCUUCCAGCAUCAUCAAGAAAGCCAAAGGUUCAGCCCGGAAGUCCAAGAAAGCUUGAAUUGGAAGAAAUAGCUGAGCUGAUGAUUGAAGACCAAUCUCCUCUAUGUUUGAAAAUAGAGGUGCCCAGUGAAUAUAAAUCAUCUUCUUGUUCUCCCAAGAGUCCUAAGUCAUCAAAUCUGAAUGCGGGUCCCAACUACUUUGUUGGUUUGUUGUAGAUCGAGCCCAAUUUUACAAUGAUGGAGACACCGGUUUUGCCAAAACAUUGAUUAGUUUAUCAUGAUGUGAUAGACACUAUCUCUACUCUUCUCCUGUAUUGCCAAAACAUUUUUGUUUUGGGGCAAAAUAGCCCUAUUAUGGGGGGCAAAAUAGCCCUACUCUCUGUCUUCAGGUUUUUUCGCCGCCUUCUUUAUCAAUUCUCUAAUUUCAAUUUUCAUUUUUGUUGAUUUUUCUUGGUCCAUUUGGUUGGCAAGAAAACGCUGCAAAAGUUGGAAACAGAUUGGUUUUGAAUUUGAAAAGGCUAGGGAUUUUUUUUUUAUUGGUUGGUUUUAAUUUCAUCUGCUUCCUCGCCAACCGAGAGAGGAUUAGGGUUUUGAGAUUGAAAUACCUCCUACGGGUUGAGCCUUCCCUGUUUCUUGUUUCUUUUUGGAUUCAUCUGUUUGAUCAUACUGGAUUUAGGGUUUUUUUUCUUCAGAUGUUUAUGGAGUAUAGAUAGAGUUAAGUGGUAAGAAUGGUGUCUGAGGCACUUGUAAUUAUAGAAAAGCCUUUUUUCUUUCUUUUAUUUUUUGAAAUACUAAAUUUUAAUUCCUUGUUGUGCUGUUUUCAGUCAAAGGUCUAUUUUUUGGCUUUGGUUUUUCAAACACUGUAAGGUGGAAUGCUAUGAACAUGCGAUCAGAAUAAAAUAUGAUUGGGUUUCUAAUUUAAA